CUGUGAAGUAGAGACAGACCCCUCAGCGACGAACCCUCCCUUGAAGUGCUACACUGAAACGUUAGAUGAGAAAAUCAGAGAAUCAACAGCUGAACUCACUGGUAAUCCUCAAUUUUCAAUCAGCGAAAAGAGCACCAUUGGCAUCGUCACCCCAGUACUGAUUCUUGGCGUUUGUGCAGCAGCACUGGCAGUGUAUUGUUUUCGACAGAACCGAAAUGGUCAAGCUGUUAGAAAAACCAAAUGGGCUCCUGACGCGGAAAACCUCACACCUGUUUGAAAAACAUCUACAAAUGAGAAAACCAGGCCUCUAUGCCAGCAGCCUGCUCCUCAGUAAUGAUGUACAGCGUUCAGCUGAAGAACGAGAGCUCAUUUUAUAUGAGACCUCAUGGUAGUUUUCACAAAUGUACCGUCGUCAAAUCCAUGUGUUCACUGAGGACUGUGAUUGCCACAGUCAUCCAGCUCCAGGCCUUCACGAGCAACAUGAGAAGCUCCCUGGAUCUCCCAUCCUCUCCUGGUGCUUUGCUGAGGAUAGCAGUCAUCACAAGAUAUGUGGCUGGCUCAGCAGCACGGGUUUAAACCAGCUGAAUUCUCUCAAUGGUUUUCAUGAUUGAAACUAUCCGUUCAUCUGGAGUUCUUCAGAGAAUUGUAUCUGUGCUCAGGAAGGAUGUGUUGAACCCUGAGGCAGAUGCUCUCUGCACAUCUUCCAUUUCAUAACACAAUAGCAUGCCCAUAGGUCUUUAUUUUUUUAAUUCCCAGGUGGUGUCUAGAUCCAAAAAAGCAUUUUGUACAGGUGACUGGUUUGUUGAGUUAGAGGGGUUUGGCCUU